rnacentral:rRNA from 1 species
UACGUAGGUGGCAAGCGUUGUCCGGAUUUAUUGGGUUUAAAGGGUGCGUAGGCGGCUUUAUAAGUCAGUGGUGAAAUACGGUAGCUUAACUAUCGAGGUGCCAAUGAUACUGCAAAGCUUGAGUGCAGACGAGGUAUGCGGAAUUGACGGUGUAGCGGUGAAAUGCUUAGAUAUCGUCAAGAACACCGAUAGCGAAGGCAGCAUACCAGACUGUAACUGACGCUGAGGCACGAAAGUGUGGGGAUCAAACAGG